GGGUGAGUAACACGUAAGCAACCUGCCUUUAAGACGAGAAUAACAAUUGGAAACAGUUGCUAAGGCUGGAUAGGAAAUAAAAAGGCAUCUUUUUAUUUUUAAAAGACCUUUUUCGGAAGGUAUGCUUAAAGAGGGGCUUGCGUCACAUUAGUUAGUUGGUAGGGUAAAGGCCUACCAAGACGAUGAUGUGUAGCUGGACUGAGAGGUUGAACAGCCACAUUGGGACUGAGACACGGCCCAAACUCCUACGGGAGGCAGCAGUAGGGAAUUUUCGGCAAUGGAGGAAACUCUGACCGAGCAACGCCGCGUGAACGACGAAGUACUUCGGUAUGUAAAGUUCUUUUAUUGAAGAAGAAACAAUAGUGGAAAAACUAUCUUGACGUUAUUCAAUGAAUAAGCCCCGGCUAACUAUGUGCCAGCAGCCGCGGUAAUACAUAGGGGGCGAGCGUUAUCCGGAAUUAUUGGGCGUAAAGGGUGCGUAGGCGGUUUAAUAAGUCUCUAGUUUAAUUUCAACGCUUAACGUUGUCCUGCUAGAGAAACUGUUUAACUAGAGUGAGAUAGAGGUAAGCGGAAUUCCAUGUGUAGCGGUAAAAUGUGUAAAUAUAUGGAGGAACACCAGAGGCGUAGGCGGCUUACUGGGUCUUUACUGACGCUGAUGCACGAAAGCGUGGGGAGCAAACAGGAUUAGAUACCCUGGUAGUCCACGCCGUAAACUAUGAGUACUAAGUGUCGGGGUUAAACUCGGUACUGAAGUUAACACAUUAAGUACUCCGCCUGAGUAGUACGUACGCAAGUAUGAAACUUAAAGGAAUUGACGGGAUCCCGCACAAGCGGUGGAUCAUGUUGUUUAAUUCGAAGAUACACGAAAAACCUUACCAGGUCUUGACAUACUCUGCAAAGCUAUAGAAAUAUAGUGGAGGUUAUCAGGGAUACAGGUGGUGCAUGGUUGUCGUCAGCUCGUGUCGUGAGAUGUUAGGUUAAGUUCUAAAACGAGCGCAACCCCUGUCGUUAAUUGCCAGCACGUUAUGGUGGGGACUUUAGCGAGACUGCCAAUGAAAAAUUGGAGGAAGGUGGGGAUUACGUCAAAUCAUCAUGCCCCUUAUGAUCUGGGCUACAAACGUGAUACAAUGGCUAUUACAAAGAGUAGCUGAAACGCGAGUUUUCGGCAAAUCUCAAAAAAAUAGUCUCAGUUCGGAUUGAAGUCUGCAACUCGACUUCAUGAAGUUGGAAUCGCUAGUAAUCGCGAAUCAGCAUGUCGCGGUGAAUACGUUCUCGGGGUUUGUACACACCGCCCGUCAAACCACGAAA
rnacentral:rRNA from 1 species